AACCUUUACACUGCACGACAGUGCGAUAGGGGGACUCCGAGUGCGAGGGCAUAUAGCCCUCGCUUUUCUGUACCGUAAGGUGGUACAGGAACAAGGACUGGGCAAGACCGGUGCCAGCCGCCGCGGUAAUACCGGCAGUCCGAGUGAUGGCCGAUAUUAUUGGGCCUAAAGCGUCCGUAGCUGGCCGCACAAGUCCAUCGGAAAAUCCACCCGCUCAACGGGUGGGCGUCCGGUGGAAACUGUGUGGCUUGGGACCGGAAGGCGCGACGGGUACGUCCGGGGUAGGAGUGAAAUCCCGUAAUCCUGGACGGACCGCCGAUGGCGAAAGCACGUCGCGAGAACGGAUCCGACAGUGAGGGACGAAAGCUAGGGUCUCGAACCGGAUUAAAUACCCGGGUAGUCCUAGCCGUAAACGAUGCUCGCUAGGUGUGGCGCAGGCUACGAUCCUGCGCUGUGCCGUAGGGGAGCCGUGAAGCGAGCCGCCUGGGAAGUACGUCUGCAAGGAUGAAACUUCA
rnacentral:rRNA from 1 species